CAUCUUAAGGCUGAGAUACGAUGUCGAGCUACUACGGUAGUGAAGUCAUUGAUGCCAUGCUUCCGGGAAAAGCUUCUAAGCUUCAGAUUAUAAGAAAUCGUACCCCAAACCGACACAGGUGAUCAGGUAGAGAAUACCAAGGCGCUUGAGAGAACUCGGGUGAAGGAACUAGGCAAAAUGGUACCGUAACUUCGGGAGAAGGUACGCUCCUAGCGGUGAUGAGACUUGCUCUCUAAGCUGCCGGGAGUCGCAGAUACCAGGUGGCUGCAACUGUUUAUUAAAAACACAGCACUGUGCAAAAUCGAAAGAUGACGUAUACGGUGUGACGCCUGCCCGGUGCCGGAAGGUUAAUUGAUGGGGUUAGACUUCGGUCGAAGCUCUUGAUCGAAGCCCCGGUAAACGGCGGCCGUAACUAUAACGGUCCUAAGGUAGCGAAAUUCCUUGUCGGGUAAGUUCCGACCUGCACGAAUGGCGUAAUGAUGGCCACGCUGUCUCCACCCGAGACUCAGUGAAAUUGAAAUCGCAGUGAAGAUGCUGUGUACCCGCGGCUAGACGGAAAGACCCCGUGAACCUUUACUAUAGCUUGGCACUGAACAUUGACCCUACAUGUGUAGGAUAGGUGGGAGACGUUGAAGCAACCGCGCCAGUGGUUGUGGAGUCAAUCUUGAAAUACCACCCUUGUAUGCUUGAUGUUCUAACGUUGGCCCCUUAUCGGGGUUACGGACAGUGCCUGGUGGGUAGUUUGACUGGGGCGGUCUCCUCCCAAAGAGUAACGGAGGAGCACGAAGGUGGGCUAAUCACGGUCGGACAUCGUGAGGUUAGUGCAAUGGCAUAAGCCCGCUUGACUGCGAGAAUGACAAUUCGAGCAGGUGCGAAAGCAGGUCAUAGUGAUCCGGUGGUUCUGAAUGGAAGGGCCAUCGCUCAACGGAUAAAAGGUACUCCGGGGAUAACAGGCUGAUACCGCCCAAGAGUUCAUAUCGACGGCGGUGUUUGGCACCUCGAUGUCGGCUCAUCACAUCCUGGGGCUGAAGUCGGUCCCAAGGGUAUGGCUGUUCGCCAUUUAAAGUGGUACGCGAGCUGGGUUUAGAACGUCGUGAGACAGUUCGGUCCCUAUCUGCCGUGGGCGUUGGAUGAUUGAGAGGGGCUGCUCCUAGUACGAGAGGACCGGAGUGGACGAACCGCUGGUGUUCGGGUUGUAUCGCCAGAUGCAUUGCCCGGUAGCUAAGUUCGGAAUCGAUAACCGCUGAAAGCAUCUAAGCGGGAAGCGAGCCUCAAGAUGAGUCAUCCCUAGACCUUUAAGGUCUCUAAAGGGUUGUUGAAGACUACAACGUUGAUAGGUCAGGUGUGUAAGUGCUGCGAGG
rnacentral:rRNA from 1 species